GAGGAUUUUUAAAGGAAUUGCACAUAGGAAUUAUAACAGAUAUGAUACAACAUAGUUAUACAAUGUAGAAAAAGAGAGAUUAAUUUGCCCAUAUUCUGAGAGAACAAAUAAACAGAGAUGAUAGGUUAAUUUGUUAUUUCUUCUUUAUUAACUUCUCCUUGCAGUUCAAAUCAGGCCUCAAUACUAUGAUGUAGCAUUUGGGGGCAAAGAUGGAGCCCAGUAAGCCAGCACUGGAGGCUAAGAUGGAGAAGAUCUCCACAGCCACCAUGUAUUUCCCCUUGGUGCUCAGGUAGACCGGAACAAAGGAGAUCCAAACACUACAAAACAACAACAUGCUGAAGGUGAUGAAUUUGGCCUCAUUAAAGCUGUCAGGCAGUUUCCUGGCAAAAAAGGCCACAACAAAGCUGAUAAUGGCCAAAAAGCCCAUGUAGCCCAGGACACAGUAAAACAGGGCAACUGACCCUUCGUUGCAGCCUAGAAUGAUUUCCCUCAUCACAGACUGCAUGUCAGAAUCAGGAAAUGGGGGAGAGGUUACUAACCACACAGCACAAAUGCCUGCUUGGAUAAGGGAACAAGAAAUCACAAUGGAGCUUGCCAGUCUUUUCCCCACCCACUUCCUCAUUCGGGAUCCUGGUUUGGUGGCCACAAAGGCCAGAACCACCGUGAUCGUUUUGGCCAGAACACAAGAAACGGUCACUGUGAAAACAAGGCCAAAAGCCAUUUGUCGGAGCAGGCAGCUCACUCUUUCUGGAGGACUGAGGAAGAUCAAUGGGCAGAGGAAGCAGAGCAGGAGGAAAGUGAGGAGAGUGUAGGUGAGGUGCCGAUUGUUUGCUCUGACAAGUGGUGUGUCCUGAUGUUUAACGAAGAUGGCUAGGACCACCACUGUGAGGAGAGAGAGAAAAAGAGCCAGCAAUGCUAAGCUGAUCCCCAGAGGCUCUUUAAAAGACAGGAAGCUGAUGGUCUUUGGAAUACAUUGCGAUUGAUCUCUGUGUGGAUAGUGAUCUUCGGGGCACCCAACACAGUCAUCCAUAUCUGGAGAGAAAAUAAUAUAUUCAGAUUUCAAAUGUUCUGGAUAGCAACUACAAAUGCUACCAGUGUGAAACUCUUAAGGUUAAAAUAGAAAUAUCACAGAUGCCUCCUUUAUACAUUUGAAAAGUACCAUCUAUAUAUUGUGUCUCCUACCUUUCUGUGAUGAAAUCUUGCCUUGAGGACAUGGAGCACAAUCAUAGCAGCAGAAUGGCUCCCCCUCCUUCUUUUCCUUCCUGGAACCAGGAGGGCAAUUUGAGUUACAUAGUGAAAGGGGUGGAACCUGCCCAUUUAAAUAAACACAUAAACAUUUUAGCACACAGAAAUUAGUAUUAUUUCGCCCCACCCCAACUAGAAAUAGGAAGACACUAAAAUACUUAUUCCAAACUCAGAGCCAAACUGCUCAUUUUUCUAUUCAUGCUCUACAAAAAGUGUACUCAACCUGACAAAUCUGGGGAACAAAUAUCUCAAAUGGAGAGUGAUCUGUUGAAAUGUAAUGUUAAAGAUAUUCUCUUUUCCUAUAUCUCAUGGAUGUAGGAAUUAUGCCUCACCUGGUGAAAGCUCUGGUGCCACACCAUUCUUUUGUCAUCAAUGGAAAUCAGCUGGCCUGGGACAGCCUCCCCACCCAGUCUUCCAACCUUGAUUCUCAUGAAGGAGUUAUUUGGAAAAGUGACUAUGUUGGUAAUAUCAGAGCCAGCUUCUACUACCCUGCUCUCACUGAAAGAAACCGUUUCUCCAGCAGAGUUGUUAAAGGAGACACUCCUAAGGAAGGGAUGGAGCUGCAUUGGAGGAAAAAUAGGAACUAUGCAUAUGUCUCUCCUUACUGACACUCAGGAUGCCUUCAGCGUUCAGUACUGGCAGGGACUGCUAUGCAAACAGAAUCCAUUCAUUGGAAAUGGCUCGUAAGAGAGAGCCAAUGAUUUCCUUUCUCUCCUAUAGGGAAAAUCCUAAUGCAUUCCCGACCAAGAGGAAAUGAGAAAAAAAUCAGUUCCCACUACUUGGAUAUCUCUCACCCCACAGAAGAGAAUUAUAGGGUAAACGGCCUCAUAUAACCACCAUGCAGACAUUUAAUCAACCCAUGAAGGGGGUUAAUGCCAUGGAGUAAGCUGUCCUACCAGGCUUCGUCUAUGUCACUUCCCUUCACUUUAGGAGGAAAUGGGCAACAAAGCCGUUUGGCUUUGGGGAAACUCAGCCUGCAUGUGAAUUCUAUGCUUACGUUAAGUGAAGGAUCCUAGUCUACACUCAGUACUUGAAAAUUUUCAGUGUAGUCUUCUACAUUUCACGGCCCAUGUCAAAUAACUUGUACGUUAUAAUAGGCAUUACCUGCCAAGGCUGCAGUUUCUGUAGCUUCUGCAUCCCUCCUUCCACCGCUGCCCUGUAUUUGGUCCUGGACAAGAACAUGGCAUGUAGAGCAUGUGCUGUGGCAUAAACAGCAUUAGAGACACUAUAGCUGUGGCUUGUUAUGCUCAUCUCAAAGCCAGACGAAGGGAGAUUUUCCAGCUUCUCCUUGCCAGUGCAGGUUCCACUGGCCUGCUCCUCUGUAUUGGAGUUUGGAAAUAAACAGAGAAAUACCUGUGCCCAGAACUGCUUGACAAAGCCAUUUCCAUUUGCCUCAAAAGGAUUUUGUACCUGAAGAAAGGCUUUGAAUCCUUGUACCACAUUUGAAUGAACUGCAAAGGAGAGGGAACCGUGGAAGACAUGCAUAUCCCAACUCAUUUGAUAGGUCAAUGCUGUGAAAUCCACCUGUGCUGUCAGUAUCCACACCUUGUCCACAGAUGUUUUGUUGAUAUUUUCCAUUUCACCUAGCGCUAGCAUUGUUCGCAAGCGAACCAUGGAUGUUGUUCCUCCAUAGAAAACAACAACCUUGGUUUCACUUUCCAUAAUAACAUGAUAGAUUUGGAUCAAGUGGGAAUACAUGACAUAAUACUCAGUCAAAUGAGUCAUUUUCAGGGUUGUCUCUGAGAAGGCCAAGCAAAUGCCUUUCUGGGAGAGGAGAGGUUUCAGGUUCUGAAUAAAUCUCUCUCCACUGUCAUUAUCCACUGCGAUCAGCCCAACCCACGUCCAACCAAAGUGCAGAAGUAACUCAACAAUCCCAGUGUACUGAUGGGCUUCAUUGGGCACCAUCCUAUAGAAGAAAGUAGAUUGGCUUUGACCAGGAUCUUCUGGAGCAAAGGAACCAUAAGUGAGCUAAAAGGAAUAAAGAGACAUAAUUCAUAAAUGUUGAAGAAGUGCAAAGUUUGUUGGCCAAUCCAGACUAUUCUCUGCAUGCCUCAGUAGAAGCUCUGUGCUGUGGAAGACAAAGCUACUGAUCUUUGUUUCUAACUGGCCCAGGAAACAGGACCAUUUCCAAACAUAAAGAGAAAGUCACCUAUUGAAAAUCCUAGUAUUGACCUUUGAAAGCUCUAAUUUGUCUGCACCUCAUAUAUCUAGAGGGCCACCUUCUCCCAUACCACCCACACUUCUUGGUUUAUUGGGUUAGGCCAGGUCACACCUAAUACAUUCUGGUGCCUGAGAUAGAAACCAACUGGUCCUGCCUUUGAAUCCUCCUUCAAUAUACCAAUAGGACCGCUUCAUCCACUGCACUUGGGACACCAGACUAGUUAGAGGAGUCAGGGGAGGCACUGCUCAGACCUAGAGCAGAGAGAAAGGCAAGUGUGCUUAAGAAGGGGAAAUAGGACUGCCCACCUAGAGCAGACAUCUUUAAAUGCUGCUGAUGGCUCACUACUAUCUGUUUUGUGCUACACAGGUUAUUUAAUUUGCAAAGUAAAGAGGAAACAAGUUUUGUGAAGAGCAGGACCACCCUCCUUUUUCAGCCACAACUCUACAAAACAUUUUUGGAGAGAAAAGAUAAUGGUAAUUGAGUGUGAAGAGUCCAAGGAAGUAUCUUACCUGGGGAAUCUUGUAGAUGCUCAAUAUGUCUGCCAUGUAGAGGGAGGUAUCAAAGUCCAGUCCCCCAAUAACUGCCACCAGGUGUUUCUGGAUGUCACACUUGUAGUUGGGUAUAAGUGUGGAGAGAAGGUUCAGAGCAGCCCGAUAGGUCAUCCUUUCAUUGAAGUAACUGUCAUAGACGUGGAAUCCUAAGGUGAUAUUUGGUAAGAUCUUGGGGUUCUCAUUGAUCUCCUUGACGGCAAAUAUCAAGGCCAGAAUAUGCUGGUAGUUCUUCGGCACAACACUGCAAUGAGAAUUUCAUGCUAUAUUUUUGAAAUAUAUGCUAUACAAUAUAAAAGGGGGGGGGGGAGGCUUGACAAUUCUUCAGCAUUUUAGUUGAAAUUGUGUCCUAUUAUAUAUGGAAAGGAGUUUCCCCUGAAGGAAUACAUUGUAUCCCACUUUUAUACUUGUAGUUCACUUUUAUUAAUACAGUGGUAUUAAUACAAUGAAAUUCCCUUUCUUUCCCUGUCACCAGUCCUCUGUCAUCUAACAAGCCUGCAACAUAGUGACAGCAGAAGGCUACAGAUAUUGACAGUCACACAGAGACAGCAACAGAAGCCGUAAAAUAUUUUGAAAUAUUUUGAAACCACGAAGCUGAUUAAUAAUAAUAAUAUAUCUCACAAGAUAAAAAUAAAGUGUACAGGCUGCCCUUUGGGCUUAGACAUAUACAAAUUGUUUAUUUACAGGUAUUGAUCUGAUCCCAGAAGAAAAGGUGUAUUGAAAUGCAGAGAAGCAGGUAGCCUGGCUUAAUGGAGUUAUUCUCAUCAUAUUCAAACCUGUGACACAUUUUAAACUGGGAGGGUCAUAUAAGACUAGCCUGACUUGGAUGAGAACAUCGGAAUGAGAAUUUCACCUCAAAGGAGAGGUGAGCCUUUAAGACCCUUCACCCCAAACUUUCAGAGAUGAAGUUCAAUAUUCAGAACAGAGAAGGGCUUUCCACCUUAAACUAGGUAAGUUUAAGUUGUGGCUCCUCUUAUGAAAGUCUUCUUGGAAGAAAUUUGGUGGGGUGUGGGGAGGAGAGAACACAUGAAUGAAAGAAAGACUCUCUCAUCUCACUGACGACACAUUCAGAUCUCCAUUUCCCUCCUUACAUGCCAAAUCUUCAGCUCUGAAAUGGUGCCCCCUCCCCAACACCUCUGCCUGGAAGGAAAUCCCUCUAUAAUCAGUGGAACAGGCUUCACAGUAAGCCUGGUUAGAGCUGGGGGAUGUUUCUGUAUCACCUGAUUACUUGAUACAUGAAGUAUUUACAAGGUAUUAAGAAGUUGAUGGGUGGUUAGCCUUUCUUUGAAGUCUGCUUUGUCAAAAGAGGUAAAGAGGUGAGAAGCAAGUCCGCCAAUAAUAAGAUCACCAGGUUGGUAGUAUUCAUGUGGAAUUCUGGACAGAUCAUGCAUGGUGCAACAUGUAUGUUUGCACACCAUAUGUGGCAGAUGAAAGAGAAUGGGCACAACAAACAGCAACAUACUGAGGCAAAUAUUCUUUCUCAUCUGACACACUCAUUUCCAUCUGGAAAAUGAACCUCAGCUUCAGAACCACGCUCAGUACAAUAUUCUGCCUUGACAGGAACAGCACUUCCCUACCAAUUCACAGAUUAAAAUCCUAUUAUACACCUCAACAAAGAGAAAAGCAAAAAUCCUCCCUCUUUCUCUUCCCUCUCCCUUGCUUAGAAUGGCAGGAAGGGGUUUUAUACCCAAACUCUGGCUGGUAUUGUCUGGAAAUCUAUUGAGACAUUAUUCAAGAGAGACUUAGUCAUGACGAGAUUGAUAAUUACAGUUGUGAUGAUAACUAGGUCUCUCUACAUCAAAAACAACAAAAUGACCAGAAAAAACACCUGCACAUGCUUGUGUUAUUUCAUCAAAAGUGGUUUCUGUCUGUUUAUGGGACAACAAAAGAGCAUGCAAAAAUAACAACAAGGAGGAAGAAAAGAAUAGAACAGUGGUCUGCUAUCAGUGCUGAAAAGCUUCAUCUGAACAGGGGAAAUGAUCAGUCUGACCUCCAAAUUUUCCCCCUGAACAUCUGUUCAUUAAUUUACUGACAAUCAUACUAAGACUGAAAAAUUGUGAAAGAGAUUGAAUUAUGGCAGAUGAUUUGUGUAGGUGGCAAGUAAAAUUAAGUAUAAACAGGGAGAAUUUCCUGGACGCCAAGAUCCAGGUUUGGGGCAAGUGCUCUUUGCUGAGAGAACCCUAGCAGAGAUUUCAAAUCACAAAAUUCAGCAAAGUAAAGUGUGAAAAUAUGGGUUGUUAGAUCGGAAAAAAUAUACCCUCAUGAGUUCCAAAACUUCCCUCUCCCCUUACCAUUGAAAAGGACCACACAUCUGGUCAGUGAAAAUUGGCAUACUUACAAAUUCUUCAAAGGUCAGGUUCAUGUGUUUCUCCAUACACAGUCAGAAAACACAGGCAGUAACACUUGGCUUAGUUAUAGUGGUGAAAGCUGCAAAUUAUUGGAAUAGGAGUCCAAGAGAGGCUUCUUAGAGCCAUGAGUUCUGAACUUGUAGCAACCAGCUAAGACCUUAAAUGUUGCGCUUCUUGGGUAGACUGAUAGAGAGCAAUAGGCCAUGUAUGUUAUGCAAUUAGGGUGAGGUAAGCUAGUUUUUGCUGUUUUGGGGACUGCUAAAAUUCCAAGAGCAUCUUGGUAUCUUCCUUAAAUGUAAUUCUAAGGCAAUUCUAAGGGGCGAUAUAUAGAUGUAAUAAAGAAAAAAUGAUUAGCAAAUACAAAAAGAAUGGUUAAUUAAUGUAUUUGAGAUAUCAAGAUGUAAGAGAGAAUUAACUUUACAAUUGCCCAGAUGUAUUCAGUAUUCAUAGUGGGUCAUGGAAUAAAAUGGUCUUUUUAUUUACCAAUCUUCUUGUUCCACCAUUUUUCAAAGAAUGUGAGAUAAUAUUGUAUUUUCUAAUUAAAAGGACUUUUAUUGUACUAAUGUUCAAAAUGCUUUUUCUCCAAAAUAUUCAUUCAGAACUAACCAGUUCCAUCUUCUGAACCAAAGCCCAUUAGCAAUACCACCAUUGUUAUAAGUAAGAACAAUGAGGCCGGAGUCUCAAGAGGUUCUGAGAGAGUUAAAGUUAUAUCAAGUACAAUAUAUGAAAAUAAUGAAUCAGGAAAUAGAAUGGAAAAUUAAACAAAUGAGACAAAAGACUUUUGAAUCGGCUAAUAAAUGUGGUAAAUUGUUGGCAUGGCAAAUGAAAAAGAGACAAAAACGAAAUACGAUUACGAAUUUAGAAGUGGAAGGAAGGAAUAUACAGAACCCUGCAGAGAUUAGAAGUUGUUUCCAGAAGUAUUUUAAAAGACUAUAUACUCAAGGGCCAGUGAAAGAAACAGAUUUAGACCAAUUUUUGAAAACAAAUGGACUACAAAAAUAUCUCAAGAAAAGAGACUAAUUUUGAAUGGCAGAAUAACUGAACAGGAAAUAGAAGGUGCCAUUCAAAAUAUGCAACUGGGUAAAUCUCCAGGACCAGACGGCUUGACCUCUAGAUACUACAGAUCUUUAAAAGAAUGGUUAAUUCAACCAUUGAAAGAGGUCUGUAAUGAAAUUAUGGAGGGGAAGAGGGCACCAGAGUCGUGGAAAGAAGCAUAUAUUACACUUGUACCAAAAACAGAGACUGAAAAGACACAACUUAAGAACUACCGCCCUAUCAUUACUUAAUGUGGAUUACAAAAUUUUUGCAGAUAUUUUGGCGAAGAGAUUUAAAAAAGUGUUGAUGGAAGAGAUUCACAAAGACCAAGCGGGCUUUCUCCCAGGAAGACAUUUGUCUGACAAUUUGAGGAAUAUAAUUGAUAUCUUGGAAAAAUUAGAAGUGAAUAUAAACACUAAAGCAGUGUUGAUAUUUGUAGACGCGGAGAAAGCCUUUGACAAUAUUUCUUGGAAUUUUAUGAAGAAGAAUCUACAGGGUAUGGGGGUAGGCCAAGGUUUUGAGAAUGGUAUAAGUGCAAUUUAUUCAGAACAAAAGGCUAAACUAAUUGUAAAUAAUGUUGUGACGGAAGAACUUAAAAUUGAAAAAGGGACACGACAAGGUUGCCCAAUUUCCCCACUUCUUUUAUUUCGGUCCUGGAGGUUCUGCUGAAUAUGAUUAGAAGGGACCAGAUGGUUAAAGGUAUACAGGUCGGAAUUAAACACUAUAAAUUGAGAGCAUUUGCAGAUGACUUAGUAUUGACGUUACAGGAGCCAGAAUCUAGUACAAAAAGGGUUUUAGAACUGAUUCAAGAAUUUGGUCAAGUGGCAGGAUUUAAAUUGAACAAGUCAAAAACCAAGGUUUUAGAGAAAAAUUUAACAUCGUUUGAAAGAGAGAGGUUUCAGAAUGAGACAGGUUUAACAGUGGUUAAGAAAGUUAAAUACUUGGGGAUUAACAUGACAGCAAAAAAUGGGAAUUUAUUUAAAGAUAAUUAUGAAAAAUGUUGGUCAGAAGUGAAAAAAAGAUUUAGAAAUUUGGUCAAAUUUGAAGCUUUCACUGCUAGGCCGUAUUGCUGCGAUAAAGAUGAAUGUAUUGCCCAGAAUGUUGUUUUUGUUUCAAACUUUGCAGAUCGUGGACAAAAUGGAUUGUUUCAAGAGGUGGCAGAAAGAUAUUUCUAAAUUUGUCUGGCAGGGCAAGAAACCCAGAAUAAAAUUUAAAAUAUUAACGGAUGCAAAGGAAAGAGGUGGAUUUGCCCUGCCAGACCUUAAACUGUACUAUGAAUCAGCAGCUUUUUGCUGGUUGAAAGAAUGGCUACUUCUUGAAAACACUGACAUUUUGGAUCUAGAAGGUUUUAAUAAUGUAUUUGGAUGGCAUGCAUAUUUAUGGUAUGAUAAGGUCAAAGCACAUAAAGCAUUUAAAAACCACAUUGUCAGGAAAGCGCUGUUUAAUGUCUGGAUAAGAUAUAAGGAUUUGCUAGAAAAUAAAACCCCAAGGUGGCUGUCACCAAUGGAAGCGAAAGCCUUGAAAAAGGUCAAUAUGGAGGUCAAAUGGCCGAAAUAUUGGGAAAUUUUGGAACAAGACGGAGAUAGACUGAAAUUGCAGAGUUUUGAAAAACUAAAAAACAAAGUGCGAGACUGGCUUCAUUAUUAUCAAAUAAUGGAGGUAUUUAAAUUGGACAGGAAAAUUGGCUUCCAGGUGGAAAGUUCCAAAUUAGAAACAGAAUUGUUAGAACCCAAUACCAAGAAUUUGUCAAGAAUGUAUAACCUGCUGCUGAAAUGGAAUACUCAAGAUGAAACGGUAAAAUCGGCUAUGAUUAAAUGGGCACAGGACGUUGGUCAUAACAUUAUGUUUGCUGACUGGGAACAGUUAUGAACCACAGGUAUGAAAUUUACGGCAUGUAAUGCCUUAAGAGAGAAUAUUAUGAAAAUGAUAUACAGGUGGUACAUAACCCCAGUCAAGCUUGCGAAAAUCUAUCACUUGCCCGAUAACAAAUGUUGGAAAUGUAAAGAAAUUGAAGGUACAUUUUUUCACCUUUGGUGGACGUGCCCAAAGAUUAAGGCUUUCUGGGAAAUGAUAUAUAAUGAAUUAAAAAGGUAUUUAAGUAUACCUUCCCCAAGAAACCAGAGGCCUUUCUCCUGGGCAUAGUAGGCCAAAUGGUGUUAAAAAAGGAUAGAACUUUCUUUAUGUAUGCAACAACAGCAGCAAGAAUACUCAUCGCAAAGUAUUGGAAGACACAAGAACUUCCCACGCUGGAGGAAUGGCAGAUGAAACUUAUGGACUAUAUGGAAUUGGCGGAAAUGACUGGUAGAAUCCGUGACCAGGGAGAAGAGUUGAUGGAGGAAGACUGGAAGAAAUUCAAAGACUAUCUUCAGAAACACUGCAAAAUUAAGGAAUGUUAGAGUGAUGUUGGACUGAAAACAAGUGGUUUCCAGCUGUACAGGUUAAAGUUAAGGAUAGAUUAAGAUUAAAGAUCAAGAUUAAAGAUGUUUAAAGAAAUGGAAAUUUGAUAAUAAAAGGGAAAAAUUUAAAGCUAUAUGACAUUAAGAUCAAGGAUUAGGUUUAAAAAAGAUGAAGUUAUAUAUUAUAACGUUUUAUUAAAUUAAAGAUUGAGAUUAAAAAAGUGGAAAAGAAACUGCUGGACAAAUAAUGUGGAUUGGAAUACAAAAGAGGGAGGUAUGAGGAAGUCCAGAAAAUAAGUAACUUAAAAUUGGAAAAGGAAAAGAGAGUUUGUUUUUAAUUGUUAUGUUUUGUGUUUUUAUUGUUAAGUUAGGUAUUGUUUUUUGUGUGUGUUGUUUUUCUUUUUUGUUUGUUUAAAACCUUAAUAAAAAAUUAUUAAAAAAAAAAAAAAGAACAAUGAGGCCGGAGGAACAUCACCCAGCUGUGAGGCGUGAAGGUCGCUCUCCUCAAGACCUUUUCCAACUGGCCUAGGGGGCGAGGCCCAGACUCACCAGCCCUACUGAAGAGGCUCCUCAUGAGGCUGGAGGAACAUUUUUUUAUUAAAAAAAAAACAAAACCAGAAAUUGUGUAGCAAAUAUUGCCUGUAACUACUGAAAUCAAUGGUACUGAUUAAUCAUGAUAGUAGCAGUUCCACUGAAACCUUACUUACUGGAGAAUCACAUAGAAAAGAAUAAGGAGAAGCUUUCUAAGCCUCCCAAUAUAUUGUUUUCUCUUUUUCAGUGUAUAAUUAACCACCAUCUGAUGUUCUAGUCAGGCCUUCAUACUUAGCAGUCUCCAUGACAGUUUCUUAGUUUCCCAAACAUUGAAAAAGGUUGUGGACCCCUAUUUCAGAAAGACCACAGAGGAUUUUAAAAGUAAUUGCACAUAGGAAUUGUAACAGAUAAAAUACAGUAUGGUUAUACGAUGUAGAAAAAGAGAGAUUAAUUUGCCCAUAUUCUGAUAGAACAAAAAACAGAGAUGUUAGGGUAAUUUGUUAUUUCUUCUUUAUUAACUUCUCCUUGCUGUUCAGAUCAGGUCUCAACACAAUGAUGUAGCAUUUGGGAGCAAAGAUGGAGCCCAGUAAGCCAGCACUGGAGGCCAAGAUGGAGAAGAUCUCCACAGCCACCAUGUAUUUCCCCUUGGUGCUCAGGUACACUGGAAGAAAGGAGAUCCAAACACUACAAAACAACAACAUGCUGAAGGUGAUGAAUUUGGCCUCAUUGAAGCUGUCAGGCAGUUUCCUGGCAAAAAAGGCCACAACAAAGCUGAUAAUGGCCAAAAAGCCCAUGUAGCCCAGGACACAGUAAAACAGGGCAACUGACCCUUCGUUGCAGCCUAGAAUGAUUUCCCUCAUCACAGACUGCAUGUCAGAAUCAGGAAAUGGGGGAGAGGUUACUAACCACACAGCACAAAUGCCUGCUUGGAUAAGGGAACAAGAAAUCACAAUGGAGCUUGCCAGUCUUUUCCCCACCCACUUCCUCAUUCGGGAUCCUGGUUUGGUGGCCACAAAGGCCAGAACCACCGUGAUCGUUUUGGCCAGAACACAAGAAACAGUCACUGUAAAAACAAGGCCAAAAGCCAUUUGUCGGAGCAGGCAGCUUACUCUUUCUGGAGGGCUGAGGAAAAUCAAUGGGCAGAGGAAGCAGAGCAGGAGGAAAGUGAGGAGAGUGUAGGUGAGGUCCCGAUUGUUUGCUCUGACAAGUGGUGUGUCCUGAUGUUUAAUGAAGAUGGCAAGGACUAAUAUUGUGAGGAGAAACAGAGAAAGAGCCAACAAUGCUAAGCUCGUGCCCAGAGGCUCUUUAAAAGACAGGAAGCUGAUGGUCUUUGGAAUGCAUUGUGAUUG